UUGGCUUAUAUAAGAAUUGGUUCCAACACCUUUCUCUUGCACCAACAAUUUAUUAUAAGAAAGUUCCACAUCUUUUUUUCAUGUCAUUUCUCUUUUCUUCACCUUUGAGAUUUUUCAGCUGAUCGUUUCAGUUCUUGGCAAAACGCUUUCGUAGAUUCCACCUUGGAUUGGUUUAGAUAUCUUUCCAACCCUUUUUUCUAGAGUGACAAAUGCUUUUUUUGGUCUGUUCUCAUAUCUCAGAUUACAACAGCAGCUGCAGUACUUGUUAAUUGUCUCAGAGCCUAAAAGUAAGUACAUGCCUUCUGUGUGGCAGAUAAAUUCUUUUACUCUCCAGGGGCAUUCACUUACAUCAAGCUUCUAUAGGUGUUCAGUUGAUUCAGUCUCACCACCGUUUUCAUUUUACUGGAAUUGAACCAACUCUAGGAGGUCAUUUUUUCACUUCCGACUGCAUACAGUUCGCUGGCCACAGACAUCAGCGAUGACAAACUUUUUGUAAUACACGAUAACUUCUUCUUUUUUGUUAGUUUGCUAGACAUCUGGAAAAACUGGUGUGAGUUAUAUUUUCUAUCCGCUAUACACUAAUGUUCAUUGUUAAAUUAUAUAUUCACACAAAAGUCUCGUACCCUUACUACAUAACACAAAACGGGAGUCAAAAAGAUUUUGGAGCUGGAAGCGUGUAUACUGUACUUAACAGAAACUGCAAAUAUAGAAGCUCAGAAGGGAAUAUGUAUAUAUCUAGAUGUACUAGAGAUUUAGUGUGACAGUUUCGGAGAUAAGGCGAAUAAAAUUUUGUUCAAAAUAUCAUUGAAUUAUAAAAGGGCAUAAUAAACAAUACACACAAACGAAUGCACUCAAGGCAUAGAUUUAGAAAGAGAGAGAGAGGUACUCAUAUCAUGUAGUCUAAGAGGGGAAGAGAAAGUUUUAAUAUAAAAAGUUAAAAAAACUUGUAGAAAUAUCAAAUAGAGUUGGCGUCAUAUGGUAACAAAUCCCACAUGUAAAUUAUUCACACUUGGUCCUGCUUUCAUUCCAUGAUCUUGCUGCCCCUGGUACC
rnacentral:lncRNA from 1 species